UACGUAGGGGGCAAGCGUUGUCCGGAUUUAUUGGGCGUAAAGAGCGUGUAGGCGGCCAGGUAGGUCUGCUGUGAAAACUCGAGGCUCAACCUCGAGACGUCGGCGGAAACCAUCUGGCUAGAGUCCGGAAGAGGAGAGUGGAAUUCCUGGUGUAGCGGUGAAAUGCGCAGAUAUCAGGAAGAACACCAAUGGCGAAGGCAGCUCGCUGGGACGGUACUGACGCUGAGACGCGAAAGCGUGGGGAGCAAACAGG
rnacentral:rRNA from 1 species